AUCCAACCGACGAGUCCCAAAUAAGACGAAACGUGAGUCCUGGAC
rnacentral:hammerhead_ribozyme from 1 species